GCGGCUGCUGCUGCUGCUGCGGCGGCUGCUGCUGCUGUUUAAAUUGGACAGUGAACUGCUGCUGCUGCGGCGGCUGCUGC
rnacentral:sRNA from 1 species